rnacentral:rRNA from 1 species
UACGGGGGGAGCAAGGGUUGUUCGGAUUUACUGGGCGUAAAGGGCGCGUAGGCGGUCGUGACAAGUCACUUGUGAAAUCUCCGGGCUUAACUCGGAACGGUCAAGUGAUACUGUCGGACUAGAGUACAGAAGGGGCAACUGGAAUUCUCGGUGUAGCGGUGAAAUGCGUAGAUAUCGAGAGGAACACCUGCGGCGAAGGCGGGUUGCUGGGCUGAUACUGACGCUGAGGCGCGAAAGCCAGGGGAGCGAACGGG